ACUAAACAUGGUCUUAUGGUCUCGUUGCCGAGAAGUUCUCUUGAUAAUUUCUGCUACCUACCUACCUACUUUGUUAGAAUUUGAAGCUUACAAGUUCAUCGAGUAGUGCGAGAGCGUCGACAUUCUACUGUAAAAACUUCCAGAGCCAUUGUGUUUUGGAUAGAGCCGAUAUGAUAAAAAGGAUGUGGAUAAUGUUCGUUGAUAAAUUGCAAUGUGUUAAUGCUGAUCGACUUUGUCAUACUAACUCAUAAUCAUACUAAGAGAUGCAAGCAACAAUAACAAGUUUCCUGAAGAAUGUUCCAGUCGGACAGUUGGAAACAAUUAUGUCUGUAUAAGUUGUGGAAUAUCUUUGGAAAGGCACUCACGAAGGUAAAAUCACAGGCCAUGGGCUUAUGGAAAGAAGUGAAGAGUGGUAUUAUAUAGAAAAACAAUCUCCGAGAUAGAUGCCUGAUGGAUGCCCAUGUAUGUGUUGUUUGCAGGAUGAGCUCACCUCAAAAGCAUUAAUAUCUAGUGAACAUAAAAGCUGUGUUAAGUGUGUUGUUGCAAUGUAUAUAAUUCUAUUUAUUAACCCCCGACGCAAACAACGGGUUGUUAUAAGUUUGACGAGUCUGUAUGUGUGUAAAUGUGUAUGUGUCUGUCUGUGGCAUCGUAGCUCCCAAACAGAUGAUGCAAUUUUAAUCUUAUCUUAUUUAGCCUAUACGAUCCCACUGCUGGGCAAUUUUAAUACAGUUUUUUUUGUUUGUAAGUUAUAUUAGUCGAGUAUUCUUAGCUAUGUUUGGUAGAAAUCGGUUCAGGUCUUCAAGGUCAUCAGGAUGUUUGUUAAGUGUGAUAGGAAUGUUACACGUUCAGUUUGCUUGCAAGUAUAGGUAUGUGGGAUAAGUUAUUUUUUACUUUAUAGGGUUUUGAAUUUUUUCACCUUUUUUCAUAAUAAUUGAGUACUUUUGUUUUUGUCGGGGGUUUUCUUUUUGUUCAUAGAUGUUGGUAAACUAUGAGUUUAUAUCACUUUAUAAUUAUAAUUUAUAUUAUUAAAUCAUUAAAUAGAUAAAAACCUGUGUA
rnacentral:lncRNA from 1 species